rnacentral:rRNA from 1 species
CGCGCAGGCGGCUUGGUAAGUCAGAUGUGAAAGCCCGGGGCUUAACCCGGAAGUACAUUUGAUACUAUCGAGCUUGAGUAUGGGAGAGGGAAGUGGAAUUCCUGGUGUAGCGGUGAAAUGCGUAGAUAUCAGGAGGAACACCGGUGGCGAAGGCGACUUCCUGGACCAAUACUGACGCUGAGGCGCGAAGGCGUGGGGAGCAAACA